rnacentral:lncRNA from 1 species
CUGAUUCAGCAUAGUUCUUGACGGUGCGUGUGAGGUUGUUCUUAUUCCCCACCUCCACCGCCUUAUUCACGGCCCAAAGCAGCCACAACAUUUCUUCACUUCUUAAAUUAUUACUACUAAUAAUUCUUCCUUCUGAUUUUGAAACACAGUGAUAAUUAUGUCAAUUUUUAUGUUUCGAAGCCUUCCUGGGAUUGCACACAUUCCACUUUUUGUAUAAAUAGUGUUCUAAUAAAUUGCAGCCCAUGAAAUAAGAAUUGAGAUUGAGUGCAGCUCUGUAUUUAGCGCGGCCCCUGGAGUACUGUAGUAGUCGACGACGGAGAGUUGUUUGAUAAGGUAAACUUCGUAAGUUCCAAUUUUCCUUUCAAAACUAAACGUUUUGCGGUCUUCUAUUCAUUCGCUAGCCAUACAGGAUGGGAACCCUAUGCUCUCCUGCUUUCGCCAGAUGUGCAACCUGAUGUAAUCAUAUAUAAAUACUGUACUUGUGUUAUACACAAAAGGAAUCUAAACAAUUGUUCCCUUUGAGUUUUGCUUACCCUUCUCGAAUGUAAUAUAUUCCUUCAAAAAGGAAAUAUUGAUUUUUUAGCCGACAUGGGUACUUGUUUCAAACACCUACCUUCUCAAAUCAUUGAAUAGACCUCUUAAUAAAUUUUGAACCCCAGAUAAUGUUGUCUCAAAAUCUUUAAACAGUCCAGAGAGACUGUUUUUGGUGUUUUCUUUGGCUGCGCGAAAAACAGAGAUACAGAUAAAAAGCGUACUGUAAGAUUAAACUUAUAUUUAAAUGUUUAGCAUAUAUAUCUUGUAUUUUGUUUAAAAAAGAAGAAGAUGAAGAUGCCUUGACAUUGGUAUGCAUGACAAUUCUGUGAGUCUUUUUCCAUUGCCUAUUAUAUCGUCACUUACUGUUCUUGGCUAAGUUAGCUUAUGCGCUGUUCAAAGAAUUGUUACUAGAAUGUGGACCAAACUUUGAAAUUGUAAUUUUAUCAUGGUUAUGAAAAAAAGAAAUAAAAAUAAAAAAUUCACAGAACUUAGCAGGGUAUCAUUAAUGUUCUUAAUAUGUUUCUCAUCUUGGCAGCCCAAAUGGAGCUUACAGUAUUGGUUUCAAACCAAUUACUCAUCAGGUGAUCAGAAGGCAUAAUUAUUGAUUUCUUCAUUUUGAUCUUUCAUUCUUGUUGGUGCUUUCCCCCAUUCUUCUUCCGCUUAGAAUGAGAGUUGGGGAGACACCCACCGUACGAGAAGAUUUAUGAGAAUUUGUUCACUAUAUACAAAAAUUUAAUUUAGUGACAUGAUUUGGGUUCUCUUGUGGAAAAAAUGGAACAAUGAAGCUUUUGUGAACUUCAUUCCCCUAAGCCAUAAAAAGGUCUAUGUACUUUUAUGAAACGUGAGUAUUGAGCUGAAAAAAAAAGCAUCGGAUACAUUUAACUCCCAUGCAGACUUCACCUCAAAAAAAUACAGAUGUAGGCAACAAAUUUGACCACUUAAUCAUGUUAUAAGAAACUUUGAAGAUGCUCAUGACUGAGUUGAAUAACCGUCUGUAGGCUGCAUCAAUUGUUAUAGCUUAGAAGUGACGGAUUGAGAAGUCAUUUAUGCAUGCUGUCUUUCAACUUCGAUGCUGGAAAAUAGCAAUCUAAAAUAUCUGAUGUUUCUUUUUCGGAAGUCAAGAAUUUUGAUUUUAUGUUGGUUAAGUUUAUUUAUUUAAUAGUGUGGGUUGUCUUCAAUGAUGGCAUAGUGUCCGUUUUUUUAGUAUCGUACAGAAGUCUUCUGCGUGCAUGGGCCUGAAUUUCGGUAACACAAUGCAUUGAAUGAAAAGUUGCUUCUUUUUCUAGUGACAUCAUCUCAUUCAAACACCUGAAUGGAGUUUGAAUUGAAUCUAAAGGGACUGUAUUUCAUCUUCAUCAACUAUAAGGUUGAAAGAGAGACCCAUUAAUAGCAGAACUUAAUUAUUUUCUUUUAUGUAUUUGCAAUUGUUUUCUUGUAAAUAAUCUAAACUUAUAAUUUACAUGCGCACUAUUAUAAAUGUGCAGCAAUUUAUGCAUUCCACUCAAGCCUGGCGACGGUAUUGGGCAAGGAACUUUGCUGGAUGGAGACGUUUUACUACAGCACAACCAUGGACUGUUCAUAUAGCAGUAACAUCUCUUGAAAAAGCAAGCCGCAUAAAUUUCACUAUUACUCAAAAUUUAGACAGGUGAACGGCCCUUGAAUACAUAAUUUUGUUUGUGAAAUAGUCCUAAGCUGGCUGUAUUAGAAAUCUAGAAAUGCAUUGUCUUUUUACAGGCUGCACCAUCGUGCGGGAAGCAACCCACUUGAGUUACACGGGACUGUAUAUAUUGUUGCUUGUACAGAUUGCGAUUUUUCUCUUUCUCGAAAUUCAUUUCAAGACCAAUUGAAGACUCUUAAUCCAAAGGUUAGUCUUUUGGUAUUUGAAUUAUUGUUUCACAGUAGUAAUUCUAUCAAAUUCUUUUUUUGCCUGAAAUUCAAGUCCUAUUUUACAUUCUAUUUUUGUUAUUUUGGUUGCAGUUAUUUGUUUGAGUUUCAUGAGGAUGCUGAUUUGAUAAUUUUAUUGGAUUUAUAUUACAUCUUUAGUAAUAGAUUGCAUCCUCACCAGAUGUUGCAAUAUGCAUGGAUUUUUUUCCAUAAAACUAUGGGGG